GCUGGGCGUUGUGGCGCACACCUGUAAUCCCAGCUACUUGGGAGGCUGAGGCAGGAGAAUCACUUGAACCUGGAAAGCGGAGGUUGCAGUGAGCCGAGAUCACGCCACUGCACUCCAGCCUGGGUGACAAAGUGAGAUUCUGUCUCCA
ensembl:misc_RNA Metazoa_SRP Metazoan signal recognition particle RNA